rnacentral:rRNA from 1 species
UACGCAGGCAGCGAGCGUUGUUCGGAAUUACUGGGCGUAAAGAGUGUGUAGGCGGUGCUCUAAGUUCGGUGUGAAAUCUCCUGGCUUAACUGGGAGGGUGCGCCGGAAACUGGAGUGCUCGAACGUGGGAGAGGAAAGCGGAAUUCCUGGUGUAGCGGUGAAAUGCGUAGAUAUCAGGAGGAACACCGGUGGUGUAGACGGCUUUCUGGACCGUAACUGACGCUGAGACACGAAAGCGUGGGUAGCAAACAGG